GGUUGUGUAGUGUAAUGGUUAGCACACGGGAUUUUGAGAAGAAGUCUUCCCGUAAUCCCGGUUCGAUCCCGGGCACGACCU